GGCCGUCUGGCGAAAUGGUAUCGCGUCUAUAUAUCCCGCUGUAAUCAGGAGGCUCUAGGUUCGACCCCUAGGAUGGCCU